rnacentral:rRNA from 1 species
AGAGUUUGAUCAUGGCUCAGGAUGAACGCUGGCGGCGUGCCUAACACAUGCAAGUCGAGCGAGAAACCAUCGAUUGAAACUUCGGUAGAUAUUGAAGGCGGAAAGCGGCGGACGGGUGAGUAACGCGUAGGCAACCUGCCCUUUGCAGAGGGAUAGCAACGGGAAACUGUUAUUAAAACCUCAUAAUACCGUAAUGUCAAAUGAUGAAACGGUCAAAGAUUUAUCGGCAAAGGAUGGGCCUGCGUCUGAUUAGUUAGUUGGUAGGGUAACGGCCUACCAAGGCAGCGAUCAGUAGCCGACCUGAGAGGGUGAUCGGCCACAUUGGAACUGAGACACGGUCCAAACUCCUACGGGAGGCAGCAGUGGGGAAUAUUGCACAAUGGGCGAAAGCCUGAUGCAGCAACGCCGCGUGAAGGAUGAAGGCCUUUGGGUCGUAAACUUCUGUCCUUGGGGAAGAAAAAAUGACGGUACCCCUGGAGGAAGUCCCGGCUAACUACGUG